GACGAACGCUGGCGGCGUGGAUUAGGCAUGCAAGUCGAACGGUAUCAUCCUUUCGGGGAUGAGAGAGUGGCGAACGGGUGAGUAACACGUAGGUGAUCUACCCUCAAGACGGGGACAACCCAGGGAAACUUGGGCUAAUACCGGAUGUGAGCUAUCGUGAGAUAGUUUGAAAGGUGGCUUCGGCUGCCGCUUGAGGAUGAGCCUGCGUCCCUAUUAGCUAGUUGGUGAGGUAACGGCUCACCGAGGCAGUGAUAGGUAGGCGGCCUUAACGGGUGGUCGCCCACACUGGGAUUGAGAUACGGCCCAGACUCCUACGGGAGGCAGCAGUCGAGAAUAGUCUACAAUGGUCGAAAGACUGAUAGUGCGACGCCGCGUGAACGAAGAAGCCCUUACGGGUGUAAAGUUCUUUUAUAUGUGAGCAGUGACAUCUAUAUUAAUAGUAUGGGUGUAGAGAUAUUAGCAUAUGAAUAAGCAACGGCUAACUCCGUGCC
rnacentral:rRNA from 1 species